rnacentral:sRNA from 1 species
UUAACUGCUGAGCAGACUGAGGUCUUCUAUUUAUAUGCAGAACAGAUGCAUCAGGGAUCGAGGCAAUGCAAACUUCCCCACUUUGUUCCACCAAAUAUGCCUUACCGCUGAUUUGGUAGGACCAUUUGUACAGGUAAGAGGUAACGCUGAUUCAGCUGGUGGCUGAGAUUGACAACA